AGAACGAACGCUGGCGGCAUGCCUAAUACAUGCAAGUCGAACGAGAUCUUCGGAUCUAGUGGCGCACGGGUGCGUAACGCGUGGGAAUCUACCCUUGGGUUCGGAAUAACAGUUGGAAACGACUGCUAAUACCGGAUGAUGACGAAAGUCCAAAGAUUUAUCGCCCAAGGAUGAGCCCGCGUAGGAUUAGCUAGUUGGUGAGGUAAAGGCUCACCAAGGCUACGAUCCUUAGCUGU
rnacentral:rRNA from 1 species